GUGUCCAUUGGGCAGAUAUGGAGUGAAUUGUAAACAAGAAUGUAUUAGAGGUUAUCAUGGCUAUCUUUGCCGGACCAGCUGCAGUUGUGAAGUAUCCGCAUGCCAUCCAGUUACGGGAUGCCAAGAUUAUUCAAAAUCCACGAGAUUAAUAUUAACGCAGGAAAUGGGAAAUCCCGUUUUCAGGGAGCAUCAUGAAAAUCAGAUUUGGAUGUUGGUCGGCCUUGCUCUCGUUGGAUUCUUAGGGACAACUCUAAUCGCUGGUCUUCUCAUCUACACGAGGAAACUGGGCUGGUGCAAAUCUACUUCACAAUAUCCUUACUUAGG